UCUACGGAGAGUUUGAUCCUGGCUCAGGACGAACGCUGGCGGCGUGCUUAACACAUGCAAGUCGAACGAGGGCGCCUCUUCGGGGGUGUUCCUAGUGGCGAACGGGUGAGUAACACGUGGGCAACCUGCCCCCGGCUCUGGGAUAACUCCAAGAAAUUGGGGCUAAUACCGGAUGUUCACUGCUG
rnacentral:ncRNA from 1 species